rnacentral:rRNA from 1 species
CUAAGGUUUUUGGAGGAAGGUUCGUCCGCUCCAAGUAAGUCGGGAGCUAAGGUCAGGCCGAAAGGCGUAGCCGAUGCACAUACGGUUGAUAUUCCGUAACCAUCUGUAAUUUAAGCAAAGGGACACUUCAAAAGGGUGUGACCCGGGCGUUGGUUGACCCGGGCGUAAGGGACCGAAAUUAGAGUAGGGAAGCACACUUAGCUGAAGGCGAGAAAAGCUUUGCGUAUAGAAGCAGAUGCCCGUACCGCAAACCGACACAGGUGGACAGGAAGAGAAUUCUAAGGCCAGCGGGAGAAGGGUAGUUAAGGAACUCGGCAAAUUGACUCCGUAACUUCGGAAUAAGGAGUGCUCGAAAGAGCCGCAGAGAAUAGGCCCAGGCGACUGUUUAGCAAAAACACAGGUCUCUGCCAAAUCGAAAGAUGAAGUAUAGGGGCUGACACCUGCCCGGUGCCGGAAGGUUAAGAGGAGGAGUGAGAGCUCCGAAUUGAAGCCCCGGUAAACGGCGGCCGUAACUAUAACGGUCCUAAGGUAGCGAAAUUCCUUGUCGGGUAAGUUCCGACCCGCACGAAUGGUGUAACGAUCUGGGCACUGUCUCAACUACCCACCCGGCGAAAUUGUAGUACCGGUGAAGAUGCCGGUUACCUGCGGCAAGACGGAAAGACCCCAUGGAGCUUUACUGUAGCCUGAUAUUGGGUUUCGGAAAUCUAUGUACAGGAUAGGCGGGAGACUGGGAAACAUGAGCGUCAGCUUGUGUGGAGUCGAUGUUGGGAUACCGCCCUUAGGUUUCUGGAAUUCUAACCUGCGGCCGUGAAUCCGGUCGGGGGACAUUGUCAGGUGGGCAGUUUGACUGGGGCGGUCGCCUCCGAAAAGGUAACGGAGGCGCUCAAAGGUUAGCUCAGCACGGACGGAAACCGUGCCUCUGAGUGUAAACGCAAAAGCUAGCCUAACUGCGAGGGUGACGGCCCGAGCAGUAACGAAAGUUGGAGUUAGUGAUCCGGCGGUAUGUGAAUGGAAAUGCCGUCGCUCAACGGAUAAAAGCUACCCUGGGGAUAACAGGCUGAUCUCCCCCAAGAGUCCACAUCGACGGGGAGGUUUGGCACCUCGAUGUCGGCUC